rnacentral:rRNA from 1 species
GCAAGGUGGGGGCGGGGAGCGGGGCGAAGGCGUAGGGGGAAGGCGUGGUCCGGAAGCAUGGGGCGUAAAUGGCGUGUAGGCGGCCUGGUAAGUCCGGGGUGAAAGUCCAGGGCUCAGCCCUGGAAUGCCUGUGGAAACUGUCAGGCUCGAGUCCGGAAGAGGCGAGUGGAAUUCCUGGUGUAGCGGUGAAAUGCGCAGAUAUCAGGAGGAACACCAAUGGCGAAGGCAGCUCGCUGGGACGGUACUGACGCUGAGACGCGAAAGCGUGGGGAGCAAACAGGAUUAGAUACCCUGGUAGUC